rnacentral:rRNA from 1 species
UACGUAGGGGGCAAGCGUUGUCCGGAUUUACUGGGCGUAAAGCGCACGUAGGCGGCUUAGCAAGUCGGAUGUGAAAUCCCUCGGCUCAACCAAGGAAGUGCAUCCGAAACUGCUGAGCUUGAGUACGAAAGAGGAUCGCGGAAUUCCCGGUGUAGAGGUGAAAUGCGUAGAGAUCAGGAGGAACACCGGUGGCGAAGGCGCCACUCUGGGCCGGUACUGACGCUGAGGGGCGAAAGCGUGGGUAGCAAACAGG